rnacentral:rRNA from 1 species
UUCGCAAUGCCCGAAAGGGUGACGAAGCGACGCCGCGUGAGCGAAGAAGGCCUUAGGGUUGUAAAGCUCUGUCAGGGGUUAAGAAAUGCAGGCAGGUUAAUACCCUGUUUGUUUGACAAAGGCCCCAAAGGAAGCCACGGCUAACUCUGUGCCAGCAGCCGCGGUAAUACAGAGGUGGCGAGCGUUGUUCGGUAUUAUUGGGCGUAAAGAGCACGUAGGUGGUUUUGUAAGUCAGAUGUGAAAGCCUUCUGUUCAAAGGAAGAACGGCAUCUGAAACUGCUGAUCUUGAGUGUAGGAGGGGAGAGUGGAACUUCUGGUGGAGCGGUGAAAUGCGUAGAUAUCAGAAGGAACGUCGGCGGCGAAAGCGACUCUCUGGCCUAUUACUGACACUGAGUGUGCGAAAGUUAGGGGAGCAAACGGGAUUAGACACCCCGGUAGUCCUAACCGUAAACGAUGGGCACUAAGUAGAGGGGUUUU